GGUCAAGCGAAUAAGCGCACACGGUGGAUGCCUAGGCGGUCAGAGGCGAUGAAGGACGUGGUAGCCUGCGAAAAGUGUCGGGGAGCUGGCAACAAGCUUUGAUCCGGCAAUAUCCGAAUGGGGAAACCCACUGCUUCGGCAGUAUCUUGCAGUGAAUUCAUAGCUGCUUGAAGCGAACCCGGUGAACUGAAAUAUCUAAGUAACCGGAGGAAAAGAAAUCAACCGAGAUUCCCUGAGUAGUGACGAGCGAACGGGGAACAGCCCUUAAGCUGGAAUGGCUUUAGAAAAACAAUCUGGAAAGAUUGGCCAUAGAAGGUGAUAGCCCUGUAUUUAAAAGGGCCACUCCAGUGAAGACGAGUAGGGCGGGGCACGUGAAACCCUGUCUGAAUAUGGGGGGACCAUCCUCCAAGGCUAAAUACUCCUGACCGACCGAUAGUGAACCAGUACCGUGAGGGAAAGGCGAAAAGAACCCCGGAGAGGGGAGUGAAAUAGAUCCUGAAACCGUGUGCGUACAAGCAGUAGGAGCUCGCAAGAGUGACUGCGUACCUUUUGUAUAAUGGGUCAGCGACUUACUGUUCGUGGCAAGCUUAACCGUAUAGGGGAGGCGAAGGGAAACCGAGUCUGAUAAGGGCGCAUAGUCGCGGGCAGUAGACCCGAAACCGGGUGAUCUAGUCAUGGCCAGGGUGAAGGUGCCGUAACAGGUACUGGAGGCCCGAACCCACGUCUGUUGCAAAAGACGGGGAUGAGCUGUGAUUAGGAGUGAAAAGCUAAUCGAACCCGGAGAUAGCUGGUUCUCCUCGAAAGCUAUUUAGGUAGCGCCUCGGACGAAUACUACUGGGGGUAGAGCACUGUUAUGGCUAGGGGGUCAUCGCGACUUACCAAACCAUUGCAAACUCCGAAUACCAGUACGUACUAUCCGGGAGACACACGGCGGGUGCUAACGUCCGUCGUGAAAAGGGAAACAACCCAGACCCACAGCUAAGGUCCCAAAUUCACUGCUAAGUGGAAAACGAUGUGGAAAGGCAUAGACAGCCAGGAGGUUGGCUUAGAAGCAGCCACCCUUUAAAGAAAGCGUAAUAGCUCACUGGUCGAGUCGGUCUGCGCGGAAGAUUUAACGGGGCUAAGCAGUGAACCGAAGCUUGGGGUGCGUAAAACUUCGGUUUUAUGCGCGGUAGAGGAGCGUUCCGUAAGCCUGCGAAGGUGGAUUGAGAAGUCUGCUGGAGGUAUCGGAAGUGCGAAUGCUGACAUGAGUAACGAUAAUGCGGGUGAAAAGCCCGCACGCCGAAAGCCCAAGGUUUCCUUGCGCAACGUUAAUCGACGCAGGGUUAGUCGGUCCCUAAGGCGAGGGCGAAAGCCGUAGUCGAUGGGAAGCAGGUUAAUAUUCCUGCACCUCGCGUGAGUGCGAUGGAGGGACGGAGAAGGUUAGGUGUACCGGGCGUUGGUUGUCCCGGGGAAAGGCGGUAGGUUUGGAUCUUUGGCAAAUCCGGGAUCCUUUAAGACCGAGCACCGAGACGAGCCUUUAUGGCGAAGUCACUGAUACCACGCUUCCAGGAAAAGCUCCUAAGCUUCAGCUCACGAAGACCGUACCGUAAACCGACACAGGUGGGUAGGAUGAGAAUUCUCAGGCGCUUGAGAGAACUCGGGUGAAGGAACUAGGCAACAUGGCACCGUAACUUCGGGAGAAGGUGCACCCUUUUUGGUGGCUCAUGCGAGCUAUAGCUGAAGAGGGUCGCAGAAACCAGGCCGCUGCGACUGUUUAUCAAAAACACAGCACUCUGCAAACACGAAAGUGGACGUAUAGGGUGUGACGCCUGCCCGGUGCUGGAAGGUUAAUUGAUGGGGUCAGCCGCAAGGCGAAGCUCUUGAUCGAAGCCCCAGUAAACGGCGGCCGUAACUAUAACGGUCCUAAGGUAGCGAAAUUCCUUGUCGGGUAAGUUCCGACCUGCACGAAUGGCGUAACGACAGCGGCGCUGUCUCCACCCGAGACUCAGUGAAAUUGAAAUCGCUGUGAAGAUGCAGCGUUCCAGUGGCAAGACGGAAAGACCCCGUGAACCUUUACUAUAGCUUUACACUGAACGUUGAGUUCGUCUGUGUAGGAUAGGUGGGAGGCUAUGAAACUGUGGCGCUAGCUGCAGUGGAGCCAACCUUGAAAUACCACCCUGUCGUGCUUGACGUUCUAACCUAGAUCCGUUAUCCGGAUCAGGGACCGUGUAUGGUGGGUAGUUUGACUGGGGCGGUCUCCUCCUAAAGAGUAACGGAGGAGCACGAAGGUACGCUCAGCGCGGUCGGACAUCGCGCACUGUGUGCAAAGGCAUAAGCGUGCUUGACUGCAAGAUCGACGGAUCAAGCAGGUACGAAAGUAGGUCUUAGUGAUCCGGUGGUUCUGUAUGGAAGGGCCAUCGCUCAACGGAUAAAAGGUACUCCGGGGAUAACAGGCUGAUACCGCCCAAGAGUUCAUAUCGACGGCGGUGUUUGGCACCUCGAUGUCGGCUCAUCACAUCCUGGGGCUGUAGUCGGUCCCAAGGGUAUGGCUGUUCGCCAUUUAAAGUGGUACGCGAGCUGGGUUCAGAACGUCGUGAGACAGUUCGGUCCCUAUCUGCCAUGGGCGUUGGAAGUUUGAGAGGGGCUGCUCCUAGUACGAGAGGACCGGAGUGGACGAACCUCUGGUGUUCCGGUUGUCACGCCAGUGGCAUUGCCGGGUAGCUAUGUUCGGAAGCGAUAACCGCUGAAAGCAUCUAAGCGGGAAGCGCGCCUCAAGAUGAGACUUCCCGGGGCACAAGCCCCCUAAAGGAACCAUAUAGACUAUGUGGUUGAUAGGUCAGGUGUGUAAGUACAGCAAUGUAUUGAGCUAACUGAUACUAAUGAUCCGUGCGGCUUGACCAU
rnacentral:rRNA from 1 species